CAGUCGCCGCGGGAAUACGGAGGGUGCAAGCGUUGAUCGGAAUUACUGGGCGUAAAGCGCACGCAGGCGGUCUGACAAGUCAGAUGUGAAAUCCCCGGGCUUAACCUGGGAACUGCAUUUGAAACUGUCAGGCUGGAGUCUUGUAGAGGGGGGUGGAAUUCCAGGUGUAGCGGUGAAAUGCGUAGAGAUCUGGAGGAAUACCGGUGGCGAAGGCGGCCCCCUGGACAAAGACUGACGCUCAGGUGCGAAAGCGUGGGGAGCAAACAGGAUUAGAUACCCCAGUAGUCCCUGUCUCUUAUAC
rnacentral:rRNA from 1 species